UCAUCUCUUUGACGGGGCCGGGGCCGCGCUUCGCCUUUCAUCACAAACUCUUUUAAAUGUCUUGUAGAAUGUGAAAUGCCUCUUUGUGGGCGAAACUUAAUACAACUUUCAACAACGGAUCUCUUGGCUCUCGCAUCGAUGAAGAACGCAGCGAAAUGCGAUAAGUAAUGUGAAUUGCAGAAUUCAGUGAAUCAUCGAAUCUUUGAACGCACCUUGCGCUCCUUGGUAUUCCGAGGAGCAUGCCUGUUUGAGUGUCAUGAAAUCAUCAACCCCCCUCUCUCUGUCUCUUCGGAGACUUCGGAGGGGUGGCUUGGACUUGGGGAUCUGCUGGCCCUUCGGGAUCGGCUUCCCUUGAAUGCAUUAGCCAGACUUCGGUUCGCAGCGGCUCAGCGGUGUGAUAAUAUCUUCACUGCGGCCGGCUCGGCAGUGUCAAGUUCGGCUUCUAAUCGUCCGUCUCGGACACCUUCAUUGACAAUCUGACCUCAAAUCAGGUAGGACUACCCGCUGAACUUAAGCAUAUCAAUAAGCGGAGGAAAAGAAACUAACAAGGAUUCCCCUAGUAACUGCGAGUGAAGCGGGAAGAGCUCAAAUUUAAAAUCUGGCGGUUUUGCCGUCCGAGUUGUAAUCUGGAGAAGCGUCUUCCGCGC
rnacentral:rRNA from 1 species